AGUGAACGCUGGCGGUAGGCCUAACACAUGCAAGUCGAACGGCAGCACAGUAAGAGCUUGCUCUUACGGGUGGCGAGUGGCGGACGGGUGAGGAAUACAUCGGAAUCUACUUUUUCGUGGGGGAUAACGUAGGGAAACUUACGCUAAUACCGCAUACGACCUACGGGUGAAAGCAGGGGAUCUUCGGACCUUGCGCGAUUGAAUGAGCCGAUGUCGGAUUAGCUAGUUGGCGGGGUAAAGGCCCACCAAGGCGACGAUCCGUAGCUGGUCUGAGAGGAUGAUCAGCCACACUGGAACUGAGACACUGUCCAGACUCCUACGGGAGGCAGCAGUGGGGAAUAUUGGACAAUGGGCGCAAGCCUGAUCCAGCCAUACCGCGUGGGUGAAGAAGGCCUUCGGGUUGUAAAACCCUUUUGUUGGGAAAGAAAAGCAGCAGGUUAAUACCCCGCUGUUCUGACGGUACCCAAAGAAUAAGCACCGGCUAACUUCGUG
rnacentral:rRNA from 1 species